rnacentral:rRNA from 1 species
UACGUAGGGUGCAAGCGUUGUCCGGAAUUAUUGGGCGUAAAGAGCUCGUAGGCGGUUUGUCGCGUCGAAUGUGAAAACCCGGGGCUCAACCCCGGGCCUGCAUUCGAUACGGGCAUCACUGGAGUUCGGCAGGGGAGACUGGAAUUCCUGGUGUAGCGGUGAAAUGCGCAGAUAUCUGGAGGAACACCGGUGGCGAAGGCGGCUUCCUGGACCGACACUGACGCCGAGGCGCGAAAGCUAGGGGAGCAAACGGG